GCCGGGCGCGGUGGCUCACGCCUGUAAUCCCAGCACUUUGGGAGGCUGAGGCGGGUGGAUCACCUGAGGUCAGGAGUUUGAGACCAGCCUGGCCAACAUGGAGAAACCCUGCCUCUA
rfam:Nomascus leucogenys chromosome 7b, whole genome shotgun sequence.